rnacentral:rRNA from 1 species
UACGAAGGGGGCUAGCGUUGCUCGGAAUCACUGGGCGUAAAGGGUGCGUAGGCGGGUCUUUUAAGUCAGGGGUGAAAUCCUGGAGCUCAACUCCAGAACUGCCUUUGAUACUGAAGAUCUUGAGUUCGGGAGAGGUGAGUGGAACUGCGAGUGUAGAGGUGAAAUUCGUAGAUAUUCGCAAGAACACCAGUGGCGAAGGCGGCUCACUGGCCCGAUACUGACGCUGAGGCACGAAAGCGUGGGGAGGCAAACAGG